rnacentral:sRNA from 1 species
UUGAGAAGCUUCGACUAAGGUUCGACUCGAGCGCCAGCGAGAGAACGUUGCCGCAGGCAACGGCCCGAAGGGCGAGGCGCUUUAGCGCCGAGUAAUCCUUCCCCCACCACCA